rnacentral:rRNA from 1 species
AGCAGCCGCGGUAAUUCCAGCUCCAAUAGCGUAUAUUAAAGUUGUUGCAGUUAAAAAGCUCGUAGUUGAAUUUCGGGAUCAAUGCGUCGGUCGUGCUUUCGGGUACGUACUGGUGUCAUUGGUUUCUCCUUUCUGACGAGCCGUGAUGUCAUUAAUUUGGUGUUACGGGUAGUUAGGACUGUUACUUUGAAAAAAUUAGAGUAGUUUAAAGCAGGCAUUCGCUUGAAUACAUUAGCAUGGAAUAAUGGAAUAGGACGUUCGAUCCUAUUUUGUUGGUUUCUAGGAUUGACGUAAUGAUUAAUAGGGAUAGUUGGGGGCAUUAGUAUUCAAUUGUCAGAGGUGAAAUUCUUGGAUUUAUUGAAGACUAACUACUGCGAAAGCAUUUGCCAAGGAUGUUUUCAUUAAUCAAGAACGAAAGUUAGGGGAUCGAAGACGAUCAGAUACCGUCGUAGUCUUAACCAUAAACUAUGCCGACUAGGGAUCGGAUGAUGUUAAUUUUUUAAUGACUCAUUCGGCGCCU